rnacentral:rRNA from 1 species
GAUGAACGCUGGCGGCGUGCCUAAUACAUGCAAGUCGAGCGAACAGACGAGGAGCUUGCUCCUCUGACGUUAGCGGCGGACGGGUGAGGAACACGUGGAGAACCUACCUAUAAGACUGGGAUAACUGCGGGAAACCGGAGCUAAUACCGGAUAAUAUAUUGAACCGCAUGGUUCAAUAGUGAAAGAUGGUUUUGCUGUCACUUAUAGAUGGAUCCGCGCCGCAUUAGCUAGUUGGUAAGGUAACGGCUUACCAAGGCGACGAUGCGUAGCCGACCUGAGCGGGUGAUCGGCCACACUGGAACUGAGACACGGUCCAGACUCCUACGGGAGGCAGCAGUAGGGAAUCUUCCGCAAUGGGCGAAAGCCUGCCGGAGCAACGCCGCGUGAGUGAUGAAGGUCUUCGGAUCCUAAAACUCUGUUAUUAGGGAAGAACAAAUGUGUAAGUAACUAUGCACGUCUUGACGGUACCUAAUCAGAAAGCCACGGCUAACUACGUG